rnacentral:lncRNA from 1 species
GGAGGAAGAAUCAUAUAUUAGAUAAAAUUGUUGGAUUACAAUAGUGGAUAUUACACAAGGAAAAUCAUCCAAAUGGAUAUAUAAUCUAAAUAUUUUCUUGACAACAAAAUUUAAAUUGAAAGCAUCCACAACAUCCCUACAACUUAACUAAAACACAAUCGACAAACAUCGUCCAACAGGAACAUCAUCCCUACAACUUAAUUAAAAUGGAAACCAUUCGUCUUCAUCAUCAUGAACAGGAACAUCAUCAUCAUCAUCAUUGUACUAUACUUGCCACACACACCCAUAGAAUUAUCCAUUUAUCUUUUGAAUCUACAAACAAAAAAAACAGAAUGAACUGUUAACACACAAUGCAUUGACAUGAUCCAAGUACUGAUAGAGGCAGGAUAUUAGUCACUUACAAAGGUUGACAUGCAAAAACAAAUCUGCAUUACCAAGAGUUGCAGUUUUUGGGAUCUGUACCUAAUCUUCAGUUUUCACAAGUGUCAUAUCGACAUGCACUACCCAGAAUUCAUUAGUAAUUUCAGCACCAUCAAGUUCAAAUUUAGGAUCACAACUUACAACUGUAGCAAGAGCUAUGUUUCUGUUAUGAUUUUUUAGGCUCAUUAAAAAUACUUAUGUUCCUUCCUGUUAGAGAAAAUCAAAGUUACCAUUGGCAGAAUCAUGUCAAGCAAAAUAAUUAAUAGAAACGUGACAUAUAACAGAAAAGGUUGAGAGGCCAAGACAUGUCGUGGUUGCAUCUUUUCCUCUACUAUAUGUUAGUCUCAUGAUGUGCAACGUCUAUGAAAUUUUAUGAAGCCUUUCACUACAAACAAAGUAGUUUUGGUGAUGAACGCUUAAAAUAAUUAAACUUCAUAUGAUACCUUCAG